UGAGGAAUAUUGGGCAAUGCCCGCAAGGGUGACCCAGCAACGCCGCGUGGAGGAUGAAUGUCGUAAGAUUGUAAACUCCUGUUAGAGGGGAAGAAUAGUACCGGUUGGACCGGUAUAUGACUGUACCCUCAGAGAAAGCCCCGGCUAACUACGUGCCAGCAGCCGCGGUAAUACAUAGGGGGCAAGCGUUGUCCGGAUUUACUGGGUGUAAAGGGCGCGCAGGCGGGAUAAAAAGUCAGUGGUGAAAUCCUACAGCUUAACUGUAGAACUGCCUUAGAUACUUUUAUUCUUGAGUUCGGGAGAGAGAGACGGAAUUACAGGUGUAGUGGUGAAAUACGUAGAUAUCUGGAAGAACACCAGUUGCGAAGGCGGUCUCUUGGUCCGACACUGACGCUGAGGCGCGAAAGCGUGGGGAGCAAACA
rnacentral:rRNA from 1 species